UUCAUAGCUCUUAGGAACAGAGAAGGCAGCAUAGUAACCAUUCUCUAACCAAUAAUUUCCUGUAUGGAAACUUCCAGUUUUUGCAUGUUUACUUCUGUAGACUUUUUGGCAACUACAGGAAUUUUGAUUCCUGUCUACCCAUAUGGCAGGCCAUUCCUCUUGGGGCUGAUUAGGAAAAGCAGGAACUAUGAGUGAAGUAUAGACCAGAAGAGGAGGCAGAUGUCCAAGUCAGUGUAGAGGUGUUGGCAGGGGAACCUUGGGAGCAGAGAGGGCUGACAGCUCCUUCACUUGGGCACGGAGCUGGGAUUCAGCAAAGAGGGACCCAUGGUUUAUCCUGGGCAUAGGCAGGCUGAUGAAAUGUGUGCCUAGGAAGGAGGAUAAAUAAAGGAUCUGCAGAAGCUGUUCUGUGUCCACCAUUGGAGGCACUCUGCAUAUUUGAGAUGAGAGUGGGACGCAGAGAGUAAGGUCAGCAGUUUGAGGGAUUUAAUAAAAAACAGAUACUGACAGUCUGAAUGGAGGACCAGCCAGAAAAGAAUGCCUCCUAUCUUAUUUAUGUCUGAGUAUGGCAAAUGUAUAAGCAUCUCCUGGCAAAUGUGGGGAAAGGAGAUUCUGCUAAGUUUUGAGCUGGGAAGAAAUAGUAAAUGGGAGUUAAUGGUAUAGGAGGUCUUUAUUAGUAAUUAAGACAUAUAAAGCAUCACUGACAUGCUCUGUAUUUAAUUAUUUGUUUUAAUGACUUCUAAAAUCCUUUUAUAGUGGCUUUUAUAAGUUCAGUUCUGACCUUAGUCUCUAGUCACUUUUUUCCCAUAAAGUUUGAAGUUCAAUAGCAAAUGUUUCUAAUUUGAAGUUUCAGAAGGCCUUCAGUUAGUGAUUAGGAAAGGACUAUAUAUUAGCUGUCAAAAAAAGUUGUCAAGAUAACCCAUGUUGCGAGGAUUCAGAUACAACUGUAAGAGCCCCAUUUAUUUUUUGAGUGCUUUCCAACUGGAAUCAGUGAUGGGCAUUUAUCUACAUGAUCUAAUUUCAUUUUCACUAUAAUUCCAGGAAUGGGCAUUCUUAACUUCAUUUCACAGAUGAGGCAACUGAGGCUUAAAAAGUUUAAAUGGCUGGGUGCGAUGACUCACGCCUGUAAUUCCAGCACUUUGGGAGGCCGAGGCAGGCGGAUCACCUGAGGUCAGGAGUUCGAGACUAGCCUGGCCAACCUGGUGAAACCCUGUCUACUAAAAAUACAAAAAAGUUAGCCGGGCAUGGUGGCAGGCACCUGUAAUCCCAGCUACUUGGGAGGCUGAGGCAGGAGAAUCACUUGAACCUGGGAGGCGGAGGUUGCAGUGAGCGAGAUUGUGCCAUUGCACUCCGGCCUGGGCAACAGAGUGAGACUCAGUCUCCAAAAAAAAAAAAAAAAGUUUAAAUGAUUUUAUCAGGAUCACAGAGCCCAUAGUGGUAGCGGGGCCAGGGUUUGAAGUCAGGACAGUCAUGCUUAAAGCAUUUCUCUUUAACCAGCCAGGGCUCUUGGAGAGGGUGGGCUUUGAAGAUGAUGCCUCCUCAUGCCAGACUACCCUGAGGUGGAUGCCUCCUGCAGCCCUGCCCAGGUGUGACGAGGGCCAGUGGGGGGAAGAGGAUGGCCAUAGGUGCUGACCCCUUGGCUUUGGGGGCAGGAGCGGGAGAUGGAGCUGCGGCGGCAGGCCCUGGAGGAGGAGCGGCGGAGGCGUGAGCAGGUAGAACGGAGGCUGCAGAGUGAGAGUGCCCGGAGGCAGCAGCUGGUCGAGAAGGAGGUCAAGAUGCGGGAGAAACAAUUUUCCCAGGCACGACCCCUGACCCGCUACCUGCCAAUCCGGAAGGAGGACUUUGACCUGAAGACACAUAUUGAGUCAUCGGGCCAUGGUGUUGAUACCUGCCUGCACGUGGUGCUCAGCAGCAAGGUCUGCCGUGGCUACUUGGUCAAGAUGGGCGGCAAGAUUAAAUCAUGGAAGAAGCGCUGGUUUGUCUUCGACCGGCUCAAGCGCACCCUUUCCUAUUAUGUGGACAAGCAUGAGACGAAGCUGAAGGGAGUCAUCUAUUUCCAGGCCAUUGAGGAAGUGUACUACGACCACCUGCGCAGUGCAGCCAAGAGCCCGAACCCAGCCCUCACCUUCUGCGUAAAGACCCAUGACCGACUGUACUACAUGGUGGCCCCAUCUGCAGAGGCCAUGCGUAUCUGGAUGGAUGUCAUUGUCACAGGGGCUGAGGGCUACACUCAGUUCAUGAACUAACUGCCAUGGGCCUCCUGGCAGAGCACAACUGGGGCUUUUGUAUAAGAAGACUUUAAUAUUCUGUAAGGAGCUUGGUCCUGUGAGUUUCUGGGCUCUGGCCUCCUGAAGAACCAGCCAGAAGAAGAAAAGUAGAGGUGGCUUUGCUGCCUCCUGGGAACCCAGAACUUGCAGUAACCCUUUAGGGUCCUGCCCCAGGCCCAGCCAGGGCUGAGGAGCUGUCACAGAGAGGGCCUCAGCUCCGACCUGACACCUGCUCUCCCCAGCCUGUUUUCUCUUUUCUAAAAGACAAAUUAUGGUACCAUAAGCUGCCAAAGAUCCCCUCCUGCCUC
rnacentral:sRNA from 1 species